UCAGUGGUGGUCUAAUGGUUAGGAUUCAGCACUCUCACUGCUGUGGCCCAGGUUCAUUUCCUGGUCAGGGAA
rnacentral:tRNA from 1 species